GAGAGGUGGUGGGGAUGGGAUGGGGAAGGCAUCAGAGACUCCAUUCCUCUCUCCCUGCUUCUUAAGAAUACAAUGUGAGCAGCUGCCCAUCUUCAAAUCUUGAUCUAGAAGAAACCCUUUCUUCUUUAAGUUGCUUUUGCCAGGAUAUUUUUUCACAACAACAGGAAAUGUAACUAUGACAUCAUGUUAUUUUGAUCUUAGGAGUCUAAGAUUUAAGCGGGCUGUGAAGAGGUGAUAUAAGAUGCUCAGAGUGACAGACAGAAGAAACAAAUUAACUUCCUUUGUGAUCACAGUUAAUGUUGCUCUUGAAUUUAUCGUGUACUCCACCCAGAAUACGGAAUACAGAAUAUGGAAUACG